GGGAGGCAGCAGUGGGGAAUAUUGCACAAUGGGCGCAAGCCUGAUGCAGCCAUGCCGCGUGUAUGAAGAAGGCCUUCGGGUUGUAAAGUACUUUCAGCAGUGAGGAAGGUGGUAGUGUUAAUAGCACUAUCAUUUGACGUUAGCUGCAGAAGAAGCACCGGCUAACUCCGUGCCAGCAGCCGCGGUAAUACGGAGGGUGCGAGCGUUAAUCGGAAUUACUGGGCGUAAAGCGCAUGCAGGUGGUUUGUUAAGUCAGAUGUGAAAGCCCGGGGCUCAACCUCGGAAUUGCAUUUGAAACUGGCAGACUAGAGUACUGUAGAGGGGGUAGAAUUUCAGGUGUAGCGGUGAAAUGCGUAGAGAUCUGAAGGAAUACCGGUGGCGAAGGCGGCCCCCUGGACAGAUACUGACACUCAGAUGCGAAAGCGUGCGGAGCAAACAGGAUUAGAUACCCUGGUAG
rnacentral:rRNA from 1 species